GAGUGAUAAUUAAAUAAUUAGUUCUAUGUCGUUGAUGUUACAACUUUCUGCCGAUUUCCGAUUGAAAUGAAAAGGUGUUCAUUAAUAAUUUGAUCGUUUUACUCACACACUAUGAUAACUAACAGCGGCGUAUUUUAAUCAAAGGAAAACGUGAAAAACACGCGCGGUUUAAUUGCAAUUAAAAUUUAAUUAAAGUUACGAAUUUGUAACGCAUAGGAAGACUAAUUCAUGUCGUCUACUAUAUAAAUGGAAGAUACCAAUUUGUCUGUACAGUCGUUAACAUGACUUCUUUAACCUUAAAGCGUCCUUUGGACGAAAAUGAGUCUGAACAAACAAACAAAAUAAUUAAAACACAAAAACUAGAGCAUUCCAAGAGUCAUGGAAAGUUGAUAAUAAUUGGCUUCGCUUUGAGAAUGAAUCAAAAUCAAUGUACUGUGACCUAUGCAUUAAGGUGCAGAAUUCCAACACGUUCACUGUAGGUUGCAAUAUCCUGAAAAAAGACUCGGUGACGAAACAUGCAAAGUCUAAAGAUCACACUCAUGCCGUCGAUGCCAGCAAGCAGUAAAGCAGCAAAACAAUGUAUUUUGUGAAUGAAAUGUAUGCUUGUAUUUUACAUGCCAUUCAUCAUGUUGUUAAAAAUGCGCUGUAUUAAAAUAUCUUUAUUACUAUGACAAUUGUGAUUUGAUGUAUAUUAUAAUAUGUGACAUGUGCUUGUUGUCAUUAAAAGAAAUAUGAAAAAUC